GAAGAGCCGCCGGCGCCUGCGCGGUGGGGCCGCCGCGCUGCGUUCCCUUUCCCGAGGAGAUGGAGGCGGCGGCGCGGCGGCGGCCGCGGGAGCCGGAACGGCAGGAGCGGGAGCAGGACGAUGGUGGGCGAGUGAUGUCGCGGUCCCUGUCGGGACAGUCCUACUGGCUGGACCUGUGGCUCUUCAUCCUCUUUGACCUGGCGCUUUUCCUGUUUAUCUACCUGCUGCCCUGAGGGCGCGGCCCAGGGCCAUUGCCACCAAGGGAAUUCUCACCUAUUUCGCACCUUAUGGACGGAGGCGGUGGAAGAGGAGGGCCAUUUGUGCGGGAUAAGCAACUGGGAACACAACUCCACUUGAGUCUGGCUGGAGGAGGCACAUUUUUGUACUGUACCGUAUAGAUCUCUGUGUCACAACUGUUACUGUGUCCUGUUCACGUGUCCUAAACUGUGCCUUAAAGGUCACGUACAACAGACUGACCGUGCUUUGUGAUUAGUGCCUACAGGUUUGUUGGGCAGAAAUGGAAGUAUGCACUGUGUGAAUAAAAUCCCCUGAAAGGACACCCUGCAGAGUGGCUGAGAAUAAAACCCAGCUCUUCUGUACACUGAAGUUGUAACUCAGGCAUGUUCCCUCAACAGAUGAAGCUUGGCCAGCUGUUCUGCUUCUGAAAAGUUAAUCCUGAAGGGUUGAUGCUGGUUGGUUUUCUAUAAUACCUUUCUCUGUUUUUUUCUUUCUUUACCUUCAGCAGUUACUGAGCCCUCUCAGGCUCACUAUUUAUAGAUAUAAAUAUAUACGUAUAUAAACAUGUCAGUGUUUAACCCA